CUACGGGACGCACCAGUGGGGAAUAUUGCACAAUGGGCGCAAGCCUGAUGCAGCCAUGCCGCGUGUAUGAAGAAGGCCUUCGGGUUGUAAAGUACUUUCAGCGGGGAGGAAGGGAGUAAAGUUAAUACCUUUGCUCAUUGACGUUACCCGCAGAAGAAGCACCGGCUAACUCCGUGCCAGCAGCCGCGGUAAUACGGAGGGUGCAAGCGUUAAUCGGAAUUACUGGGCGUAAAGCGCACGCAGGCGGUUUGUUAAGUCAGAUGUGAAAUCCCCGGGCUCAACCUGGGAACUGCAUCUGAUACUGGCAAGCUUGAGUAUCGUAGAGGGGGGUAGAAUUCCAGGUGUAGCGGUGAAAUGCGUAGAGAUCUGGAGGAAUACCGGUGGCGAAGGCGGCCCCCUGGACGAAAACUGACGCUCAGGUGCGAAAGCGUGGGGAGCAAACAGGAUUAGAUACCCGCGUAGUC
rnacentral:rRNA from 1 species